rnacentral:lncRNA from 1 species
UCUUGCAUCCUGGUACUGGGAUCUUGUCUACUUGAACUUGUUUGGCUUCAGAUGGGGAUGAAGGAUCCAGCACUUGUCUUUCAGAUGCCCCUUCUUCUUGCAGUGGUCACAGGUCAAAGACUUCCUAUCCUCUUGCUUGUAAGCAGCUUUGUUGGCUAUUACUUCCUCAGCCUUGUGAGCCAUGCUCAAGUCUCCCUUGCUUCCAAAUAGGCUCACAGACCCUUCUUCCUUCUGGAUUUGAGCACAAACAUCAUCUAGAUCAGGGAGCUUAUC